CCUACGGGUGGCAGCAGUCGAGAAUCAUUCACAAUGGGGGAAACCCUGAUGGUGCGACGCCGCGUGGGGGAAUGAAGGUCUUCGGAUUGUAAACCCCUGUCAUGUGGGAGCAAAUUAAAAAGAUAGUACCACAAGAGGAAGAGACGGCUAACUCUGUGCCAGCAGCCGCGGUAAUACAGAGGUCUCAAGCGUUGUUCGGAAUCACUGGGCGUAAAGCGGGCGUAGGCUGUUUCGUAAGUCGUGUGUGAAAGGCGCGGGCUCAACCCGCGGACGGCACAUGAUACUGCGAGACUAGAGUAAGGGAGGGGGAACGGGAAUUCUCGGUGUAGCAGUGAAAUGCGUAGAUAUCGAGAGGAACACUCGUGGCGAAGGCGGGUUCCUGGACAUUAACUGACGCUGAGGCACGAAGGCCAGGGGAGCGAAAGGGAUUAGAUACCCUGGUAGUC
rnacentral:rRNA from 1 species